rnacentral:rRNA from 1 species
AGCGAACGCUGGCGGCAGGCCUAACACAUGCAAGUCGAACGAACCUUUCGGGGUUAGUGGCGGACGGGUGAGUAACACGUGGGAACGUGCCUUUAGGUUCGGAAUAACUCAGGGAAACUUGUGCUAAUACCGAAUGUGCUCUUCGGGGGAAAGAUUAAUCGCCUUUAGAGCGGCCUGCGUCUGAUUAGCUAGUUGGUUGAGGUAAUGGCUCACCAAGGCGACGAUCAGUAGCUGGUCUGAGAGGAUGAUCAGCCACAUUGGGACUGAGACACGGCCCAAACUCCUACGGGAGGCAGCAGUGGGGAAUCUUGCGCAAUGGGCGAAAGCCUGACGCAGCCAUGCCGCGUGAAUGAUGAAGGUCUUAGGAUUGUAAAAUUCUUUCACCGGGGACGAUAAUGACGGUACCCGGAGAAGAAGCCCCGGCUAACUUCGUG